GUCCCUGUAGCGCAGUGGAUAGCGCUUAGAACUUCCAAUCCAAAGGUCGUGGUUUCGAAUACCACUAGGAAUG